rnacentral:misc_RNA from 1 species
GAACGCACAUUGCGCCCUUUGGUAUUCCGAAGGGCAUGCCUGUUCGAGCGUCAUUAUAACCACUCAAGCCUACGCUUGGUAUUAGAGUUCGCGACCAGCGGCUCUUAAAAUCAGUGGCGGUGCUCGUAAGCUCUACGCGUAGUAAUUCUCUCGCGACGGAACCUUACGAGUUGCUUGCCAAAACCCAAAUAUUUUUUAUCAGGUUGACCUCGGAUCAGGUAGGGAUACCCGCUGAACUUAAG